rnacentral:tRNA from 1 species
GCACCCAUAGCUCAGUUGGAUAGAGCAACGGUUUGCGGAGCCGUAGGUCAGGGGUUCAAAUCCCUUUGGGUGUACCA